AGGGAGCUAUGUGACAUUGGGAAUGGGCUCAGUGCCACAGCCCCGCUGCUCCUUCUGUGAAUGGAGACCCCUUCACCGGGAUAAUGUAUGAUGUCAGGAGUCCAGGUUCCCAGCUUGAUAACAUGAGUCAAACCAAACCUGCACCAGCGAGGAGACUAAAGUACACCCAGACCUUGCUCUUCUGACGCUCGAUGCUUGUCAGCAUCCAGUAAAUUCUUGUUUACAACGUCUCUUUCUGAUUUCCUCGGAGGAAGCAUCCCAUGGAAGUGGAGUGAAGUGAACCCUAAAGGAGGAGCAGCUGGAGACUGGCAAGUAAAUAAAUAAAUAAAAAUGAUAAGGAA